rnacentral:rRNA from 1 species
CAAACCAAAGCUGGCGACCGGCGCACGGGUGAGUAACACGUAUCCAACCUGCCUCAUACUCGGGGAUAGCCUUUCGAAAGAAAGAUUAAUAUCCGAUAGCAUAUAUUUCCCGCAUGGGUUUUAUAUUAAAGAAAUUCGGUAUGAGAUGGGGAUGCGUUCCAUUAGUUUGUUGGGGGGGUAACGGCCCACCAAGACUACGAUGAAUAGGGGUUCUGAGAGGAAGGUCCCCCACAUUGGAACUGAGACACGGUCCAA